rnacentral:rRNA from 1 species
AUUGAACGCUGGCGGCAGGCCUAACACAUGCAAGUCGAGCGAGCGGCGGACGGGUGAGUAAUGUAUGGGGACUGCCCGAUAGAGGGGGAUAACUACUGGAAACGGUGGCUAAUACCGCAUACUAUCGGAUAACCCAUAUGGGAUUAGCUAGUAGGUGGGGUAAAGGCUCACCUAGGCGACGAUCUCUAGCUGGUCUGAGAGGAUGAUCAGCCACCCUGGGACUUGUACACGGCCCAGACUCCUACGGAGGCAGCAGUGUGUAAUCUUGCACAAUGGGCGCAAGCCUGCUGCAGCCAUUCCGCGUGUAUGAAUAAGGCCUUAGGGUUGUAAAGUCCUUUCAGCGGGGAGGCGUUACCCGCAGAAUAAGCACCGGCUAACUCCGUGCCAGCCGCCGCGGUAAUUC